rnacentral:lncRNA from 1 species
AUCAUCAUGCUAUCUCUCUCUCACACUAUUGAGAGAAGGUGUCCUACGCAUCUCAAAAGGCGGUGGGCUCAAAACGGGUAUGGAAUCAGAGAGGAGCAGAGAUACGGUGUCGUAUCGUAAUAGAUUAGGCUGCACAGAGCCUACGGUAAAAACCCUAAACACUGCAUGGCAUUUGAGUUUGACUGCGAUUCCAACAUGCCUCCCUUCAUUUAUUGUUCCUUUUUCCCAAUGUUUUUUUUCUUUCUUUUCUUUUAAAGAAGAGUUACUACUACCAUG